GACGAACGCUGGCGGCGUGCCUAAUACAUGCAAGUCGAGCGAAGUUUUUCUGGUGCUUGCACCGGAAAAACUUAGCGGCGAACGGGUGAGUAACACGUAAAGAACCUGCCUCAUAGACUGGGACAACUAUUGGAAACGAUAGCUAAUACCGGAUAACAGCAUUAACCGCAUGGUUGAUGUUUAAAAGUUGGUUUUGCUAACACUAUGAGAUGGCUUUGCGGUGCAUUAGCUAGUUGGUGGGGUAAAGGCCUACCAAGGCGACGAUGCAUAGCCGACCUGAGAGGGUGAUCGGCCACACUGGGACUGAGACACGGCCCAGACUCCUACGGGAGGCAGCAGUAGGGAAUCUUCCGCAAUGGGCGAAAGCCUGACGGAGCAACGCCGCGUGAGUGAAGAAGGAUUUCGGUUCGUAAAGCUCUGUUGUUAGGGAAGAAUGAUUGUGUAGUAACUAUACACAGUAGAGACGGUACCUAACCAGAAAGCCACGGCUAACUACGUGC
rnacentral:rRNA from 1 species